AGAGUUUGAUCCUGGCUCAGGAUGAACGCUAGCGGCGUGCCUAAUGCAUGCAAGUCGAACGGUAGCCACGAGACCUAGUUUUGUGGUGAGAGUGGCGGACGGGUGAGUAACACGUUGGUGACCUGCCCCGGAGAGGGGGAUAACUGCUGGAAACGGCGGCUAAUACCGCGGACGUCGUCGCGGUUAGAGAGCGGCGACUGAAGGGGAGAGGGCGUCAAGCCCUCUUCGCACUCCGGGAGGGGCCUGCGGCCCAUCAUCUAGUUGGUGGGGUAAGAGCCUACCAAGGCCGAGACGGGUAGGGGGCGUGAGAGCGCGACCCCCCACACUGGUACUGAAACACGGACCAGAUACCUGCGGGUAGCAGCAGCAAGGGAUAUUGCGCAAUGGGGGCAACCCUGACGCAGCAACGCCACGUGGAGGAAGAAGUCUUUCGGGAUGUAAACUCCUUUUCUGGGGGAAGAAGGCCGACUUUGAGUCGGCAAGACGGUACCCCAGGAAGAAGGCCCGGCUAACUACGUGCCAGCAGCCGCGGUAAAACGUAGGGGUCGAGCGUUAUCCGGAAUUACUGGGCGUAAAGCGCGUGCAGGCGGUGUGGGAAGUCGGACGUGAAAGCUCCUGGCUCAACUGGGAGAGGCCGUUCGAAACUCCCAUACUAGAGGACGGUAGAGGCGAGUGGAAUUCCCGGUGUAGUGGUGAAAUGCGUAGAUAUCGGGAGGAACACCAGAGGCGAAAGCGGCUCGCUGGGCCGGUUCUGACGCUGAGACGCGAAAGCUAGGGGAGAGAACGGGAUUAGAAACCCCGGUAUUCCUAGCCGUAAACGAUGUCAACUAGGUGUAGGGGGUGUAGAAGCCUUCUGCGCUGCCGCCAACGCAGUAAGUUGACCGCCUGGGGAGUACGGCCGCAAGGCUAAAACUCAAAGGAAUUGACGGGGGCCCGCACAAGCAGCGGAGCGUGUGGUUUAAUUCGAGGCAACGCGAAGAACCUUACCAGGGUUUGACAUGCUGGUGGUAGGGAGGUGAAAGCCGACUGACCCUUCGGGGAGCCAGCACAGGUGCUGCAUGGCUGUCGUCAGCUCGUGCCGUGAGGUGUUAGGUUAAGUCCUGUAACGAGCGCAACCCACGUCGUUAGUUAUACGUGUCUAGCGAGACAGCCGGUGAUAAGCCGGAGGAAGGUGUGGAUGACGUCAAGUCAGCAUGGCCUUUAUAUCCUGGGCGACACACACGCUACAAUGGCCGGUACAAUGGGCAGCGAAGUCGCGAGGCAGAGCCAAUCCCGGAAAGCCGGUCUCAGUUCGGAUUGCAGGCUGCAACUCGCCUGCAUGAAGUCGGAGUUGCUAGUAACCGCAGGUCAGCCACACUGCGGUGAAUACGUUCCCGGGCCUUGUACACACCGCCCGUCACGUCAUGGGAGUUGGCAACGCCUGAAGUCGGUGGGCUAACGGCGCUUCGGCGUCGGGGCAGCCGCCUAAGGCGGGGUCGGUAACUGGGACGAAGUCGUAAC
rnacentral:rRNA from 1 species